AAUGAACGCUGGCGGCAUGCCUAACACAUGCAAGUCGAACGAAGGCUUCGGCCUUAGUGGCGCACGGGUGCGUAACGCGUGGGAAUCUGCCCUUGGGUUCGGAAUAACAGUUAGAAAUGACUGCUAAUACCGGAUGAUGUCGUAAGACCAAAGAUUUAUCGCUCAAGGAUGAGCCCGCGUAGGAUUAGCUAGUUGGUGGGGUAAAGGCCUACCAAGGCGACGAUCCUUAGCUGGUCUGAGAGGAUGAUCAGCCACACUGGGACUGAGACACGGCCCAGACUCCUACGGGAGGCAGCAGUGGGGAAUAUUGGACAAUGGGCGAAAGCCUGAUCCAGCAAUGCCGCGUGAGUGAUGAAGGCCUUAGGGUUGUAAAGCUCUUUUACCCGGGAUGAUAAUGACAGUACCGGGAGAAUAAGCUCCGGCUAACUUCGUG
rnacentral:rRNA from 1 species